UUGGUCGUAGCUCAACGGCAGAGCACCUGAAUGUGGAUCAGGGUGCACGGGUUCGACUCCCGUCGAUCAAC
rnacentral:tRNA from 1 species